AUGCGAUGGCGGAGGCCUAACACAUGCAAGUCGAGCGGAAACGAGUUAUCUGAACCUUCGGGGGACGAUAACGGCGUCGAGCGGCGGACGGGUGAGUAAUGCCUAGGAAAUUGCCCUGAUGUGGGGGAUAACCAUUGGAAACGAUGGCUAAUACCGCAUAACGCCUACGGGCCAAAGAGGGGGACCUUCGGGCCUCUCGCGUCAGGAUAUGCCUAGGUGGGAUUAGCUAGUUGGUGAGGUAAUGGCUCACCAAGGCGACGAUCCCUAGCUGGUCUGAGAGGAUGAUCAGCCACACUGGAACUGAGACACGGUCCAGACUCCUACGGGAGGCAGCAGUGGGGAAUAUUGCACAAUGGGCGCAAGCCUGAUGCAGCCAUGCCGCGUGUGAAGAAGGCCUUCGGGUUGUAAAGCACUUUCAGUCGUGAGGAAGGUAGUGUAGUUAAUAGCUGCAUUAUUUGACGUUAGCGACAGAAGAAGCACCGGCUAACUCCGUGCCAGCAGCCGCGGUAAUACGGAGGGUGCGAGCGUUAAUCGGAAUUACUGGGCGUAAAGCGCAUGCAGGUGGUUUGUUAAGUCAGAUGUGAAAGCCCGGCGCUCACCCUCGGAGUAGCAUUUGAAACUGGCAGACUACAGUACUGUAUAGGCGGGUAGAGUUUCACGGUGUAGCGAUGAUAUGCGUAGACAUCUUAAAGAAUGCCGGGUGGCUAACGCGGCACAUCAGGAACAGAUACUGACACUCUGGAAGCCACAUUCGUGACGCAGCAAAAACGGAAUCACAUACCCUGUAGUCAGGACUUUAAGACGAUGUCGACUUCGCUGGUUUGUAGCCUUGAAGCCAUACGGGCGAAACAACCGCGUCUACUGAGG
rnacentral:rRNA from 1 species